AGCCUUUCGGGGUGGAUUAGUGGCGAACGGGUGAGUAACACGUGGGCAAUCUGCCCUUCACUCUGGGACAAGCCCUGGAAACGGGGUCUAAUACCGGAUAACACUCUGUCCUGCAUGGGACGGGGUUAAAAGCUCCGGCGGUGAAGGAUGAGCCCGCGGCCUAUCAGCUUGUUGGUGGGGUAAUGGCCUACCAAGGCGACGACGGGUAGCCGGCCUGAGAGGGCGACCGGCCACACUGGGACUGAGACACGGCCCAGACUCCUACGGGAGGCAGCAGUGGGGAAUAUUGCACAAUGGGCGAAAGCCUGAUGCAGCGACGCCGCGUGAGGGAUGACGGCCUUCGGGUUGUAAACCUCUUUCAGCAGGGAAGAAGCGAAAGUGACGGUACCUGCAGAAGAAGCGCCGGCUAACUACGUGCCAGCAGCCGCGGUAAUACGUAGGGCGCAAGCGUUGUCCGGAAUUAUUGGGCGUAAAGAGCUCGUAGGCGGCUUGUCACGUCGGAUGUGAAAGCCCGGGGCUUAACCCCGGGUCUGCAUUCGAUACGGGCUAGCUAGAGUGUGGUAGGGGAGAUCGGAAUUCCUGGUGUAGCGGUGAAAUGCGCAGAUAUCA
rnacentral:rRNA from 1 species